rnacentral:rRNA from 1 species
UACGGAGGGGGCUAGCGUUGUUCGGAAUUACUGGGCGUAAAGCGCGCGUAGGCGGACCUGCAAGUCGGGGGUGAAAGCCCGAGGCUCAACCUCGGAACUGCCUUCGAUACUGCGGGUCUCGAGUCCGGGAGAGGUGAGUGGAAUUCCUAGUGUAGAGGUGAAAUUCGUAGAUAUUAGGAAGAACACCAGUGGCGAAGGCAGCUCACUGGAUCGGUACUGACGCUGAGGUGCGAAAGCGUGGGGAGCAAACAGG